CCUACGGGCGGCUGCAGUGGGGAAUAUUGGACAAUGGGGGGAACCCUGAUCCAGCCAUGCCGCGUGUGUGAAGAAGGCCCUCGGGUUGUAAAGCACUUUCAGUGAGGAAGAACGCCUGGUGGUUAAUACCCAUCAGGAAAGACAUCACUCACAGAAGAAGCACCGGCUAACUCCGUGCCAGCAGCCGCGGUAAUACGGAGGGUGCGAGCGUUAAUCGGAAUUACUGGGCGUAAAGCGCGCGUAGGUGGCUUGAUAAGCCGGUUGUGAAAGCCCCGGGCUCAACCUGGGAACGGCAUCCGGAACUGUCAAGCUAGAGUGCAGGAGAGGAAGGUAGAAUUCCCGGUGUAGCGGUGAAACGCGUAGAGAUCGGGAGGAAUACCAGUGGCGAAGGCGGCCUUCUGGACUGACACUGACACUGAGGUGCGAAAGCGUGGGUAGCAAACAGGAUUAGAUACCCGUGUAGUC
rnacentral:rRNA from 1 species